rnacentral:snRNA from 1 species
GAGUGCUUACAGCUCUUUUAGAAUUUGUCCAGCAGGUCUUCCGGCUUUUACCAGACGGCACCCCU